CAUGGAGGGGGAGGUCCCUCAGCCCGGAUUGCAAGAGGGUGCAGGCCAGGCCAAGGGAUCCCUCUGGUGCACG
rnacentral:pre_miRNA from 1 species